GAUGAACGCUGGCGGCGUGCUUAACACAUGCAAGUCGAACGAAGCAUCCCUCCCGAUGAAGUGGAAGUGCUUGCACAGAAGCGGAAUCAUUUGGGAUGACUUAGUGGCGGACGGGUGAGUAACGCGUGGGUAACCUGCCCCAUAGAGGGGGACAACAGUUAGAAAUGACUGCUAAUACCGCAUAGUAAUACAGAUCCGCAUGCUUCUGUAUUGAAAGCUUUUGCGCUAUGGGAUGGACCCGCGUCUGAUUAGCUAGUUGGUGAGGUAACGGCUCACCAAGGCGACGAUCAGUAGGGGUUCUGAGAGGAAGGUCCCCCACAUUGGAACUGAGACACGGUCCAAACUCC
rnacentral:rRNA from 1 species